rnacentral:misc_RNA from 1 species
CUCGUCAAGAGCGUCCAUAAUUAUGUUCUCCAUGGUUGAAUUAUCAGCAGCGUGGAAAGUUUCCUUCAAUGGAGCGAUCUUGGAGGUGGAAAAUGGUAAUUUUGAGGUGAUGGUGCGGGGCAAAAAUGACCUUUGAGGCAUUUUAUCUCUAAUGUCAGGCAUUGGCAUCACGUUACCCUUCUUGAGCUCAGACUCACGGAAAAAUUUGCCAGGCUCAAUCCACUUAUUUACCAAACUACCACUGACCUUCUUUGCAGUAGUUUCUUCAGAUGCAGUAGUGGAGCUUGUUUUGCUGUACCCAGAAAAAGAUACGCUCUUUUUAUCAGCAUACUCUUUGAAAGUGUUGUUCACUCCAUAGAUCUUGAACCCAAUCUUCGGCUUAUCUGCUCGUUCACCAUACCCAGUAAAUGUAUCAGACCCUUCAUUGAAGGAUUUCCCAUAAUUUUUGAAAUUUACAGUUCCCCCAGUUGAUUUUUUAGCAUAAGAUUGGAAGGAAUCGUCACCCACAUUGGAUUCAUCUCUGUAAUUGGUGAAGGUAUCAAAACUACCAGUUCCUUCAGCGCCGUAGUUCUUGAAAUUGUUCUCUGGAACAUUUCCAUUGAACCCAUAAGACUUGAAGGUAUC